rnacentral:tRNA from 1 species
AUCCACGCCGCUUUGAAGACUCUUCAACCUUUUCGGAAACACUGCAUCUGCUUCUGUCUUUUU